UACAGAGGUCUCAAGCGUUGUUCGGAUUCAUUGGGCGUAAAGGGUGCGUAGGCGGCGCGGUAAGUCGGGUUUGAAAUCUCGGAGCUUAACUCCGAAACUGCAUUCGAUACUGCCGUGCUUGAGGACUGGAGAGGAGACUGGAAUUUACGGUGUAGCGGUGAAAUGCGUAGAUAUCUGGAGGAACACCGGUGGCGAAGGCGGCAUCCUGGACCAACACUGACGCUGAGGAGCGAAAGCCAGGGGAGCAAAGCGGG
rnacentral:rRNA from 1 species